UAUGGAAGCUCCCCGGGUAGCCAGCGCUUGUUCUACCCAGCUGCAGGACACUAAAAGCAUACACUUUUGUCUUACAAGCCCCGCUGAGGCUGGAAGUCUGCAAACCCGUUCGGGAACCGAACAAGGGAGCAUUCGGGAAUUUUAGUGCUGCAAUUGUAUUCGCUGUGCAAGUACCCAGAUAGCCUGCCAUGGAGCCUGUUCGUGGAAUUAAAGACUCUGGUGUUCUGCAGUAGCUGUGCCUGCAUCUCUGGAAAGGGGGCCGAUCGCCUAAACGGUUUUUACCCCUUAUGUGCAAAACGGUCCGUUACAAUUGGUGGCAAGCGGCGUGAUCGUUCCCACAGACUACAGGACAGCUACAGGCAACACCAUUCCGUGGAUUUUUAAAAUUUGAGGGCAAAGCAUGUCCCAGUACAGCGACCCUGACAGCACCGAGAUGGAACCAGCAGUGGAGUAUGACGAGGGCGCCCUGGAUGACCGAGAUGCGCUGCGCAAAGGCAUCUGGUACCAGGCACUGGGUAUUGUGGAGUACCAGCGGGGCGAGAGACUCCCCAAGGAAGACCAGCGACUGCAGAAGCGAGUAGCCCUGCGAAUGCCCUUUCUGGGAGAGCAGCCCCUGGAUGAAUGGGUGAAGGAAUUGGAACUCCGAGUAUGGCAGGAGAUUUGGCUGGAAGAUGCCUACCAGGGGCUCUGGUGGUAUGGGGCACAGUACCAGCCCUGGACAGCCGAGCAUGACAAGCCAGAGGGAGAGGCGUUUGAUGGUCCUGGCUUGUUAUG